UUUUUUUUUUUGGGUUGAAAGAUAUAGAAACAGAUUGGCUAUGAUAACUUGCAUUUUCCAACUUUCAAUCAUUGCAAAGAAUAGAAUUUUACCAGAAACAAUGCCAUUGAGGUGCAUAAUACGUGUGGUUAUAAGUGAUGCAUUUAGAAGUUCCUGUAACUUGAGGAUUUCUUUCAUAACUUCUUCUAUUGGACUGCCUAUUUCCUCUAUGGUGGAAGCAGGAGGGGGUGGAACCGGGG
rnacentral:misc_RNA from 1 species